UAUCCUCAUCUCCCUUUCUUUGAUUUUGUCUUUCAAUUAUCAUAUCAACCUCCUCCUUUAUUUCUUUCUCCCCCUCCCUUCUUUGCCACUCCCCUCUUAUUGCUUCGCCACUACUAAUGCUUAACUUCACCUCACCCAAUCAAGUCCAGUAUUAGAUAGAAGGUCUUUCACAUUUAAGGAGGAGCAUCCACGUGUUUUUGCAGAGGAGCUUCUAUGGAGGAUCAUCGCCCAUCCGUUGUUUUGCUCUACCCUUCCUCCUCCCCCUUUGUUACUCUGUGUCACCUCUCCCUCUCCUACCCCCUCUCUACUUCUUUACUUUGCUUUGCUCCUCUCCCUCUAUUACUUUGUUCUACUCUAUCUUUCCCCCUUUAUUGGUGGGGCUUCUAUAACAAAUCAAAGAACGUCUCAUCCAUUGAACUCAAUAAGUUCAAGAAUCUUUGUUUAACUUUUUCAAUAUAAUAAUCAGUUGAUUAUGGAUUGUAAAUGAAAGAGUUCAACUUUUAUCGAUUUCAAAAAUUCAAACCCAAAUCCAUUUAUAAUCAAUCACUGCCUAGGCUUACAAAGUACUUAAGACACUACUACAAAUUGAUCCAUCUAAGUCGCUCAAUCUAAGUAAACAAUGUAGAAUAAGACGUGGUGGAAAUUUUGUAAAUAAAGCAAACGUAGUCUACGAUGGUUCACAUUAUAACUGUAGUAGAACUAAAUAUCCCUUGUGAUCUAUGACGUUUUUUCUGUAAAACUGACUUAGAUAAGAACCCCAAAUUUAUCCAGCCGCGCGGGUUCUCUCUCACCAUUCGCGCCCUUCCCUUCCCACCCACAACCUUGCUCUGUUCUCUCUCUUGGUUCAUCUUCCACCCACAGCUCUACUCGUGUUCCCUCUCAGUUCAUCCGUGCGCCGUUCACUCUCCCACCGGCAGCCCUUAGCGACAACCCUCGUGACGUGUCACCUCCUAGGUUGUGCUCUAAAUGUCAUGCUCUGAAUGUUCUCACUGAUGUUGCGUUCAUUUUUUCCCCUAAUCUCUCAACCUUCUCAUUGAAAAGCAAAGGAAGUUUCAUCAGUCACGUGGUGGUUUGAUUAGGAAUAACAUUGGCUGCCAAGUCCAUUAACCCAGCUAAGGUGGUCAUGAUGAAACAAAUUUUGGAAUCGGAUUGCUGAAAGAAGUUGCACAACAUGUGAUUGCAGCAUGAGUUGCUGAACCGAAUUGUUGAAACUAAGCAAGCAGCAGGAUGCAACUGAAUCUAGGAUAAAAAAACCCAGAUGGCAACAUCAACAAAUACAAGGCUUGACUAGCAACAAAAGGCUUUCACCAACAGCCCAAGUUUGACUCCACUGAAACUUUCUCUUUGGUUGUCUAACUUAUGAUAGUUUAACCUCAACUUGGCACUUUAUCAUCAAAGAAGGAAUGUAAAAUAUUGAAUAUGACCCAACUAUACUCAACCAAGAAAAUAAAAUGUUUGCAUCAACCUAAUUGCACAAGAACAUUCAUAUAACUUCAUUCAGUAAAUAAGCAAAUGGAACUCUAGUUAAAUCACAGCAAAAACAUACUUUGAUCAGGGUAGUCAAAAUACUCCGAUUGAUGGGAUAUAACAACAUUUUUUGUGCGAAUAUCUCUAAUAUGAAAGAAUAAUAUAAAAUAAUUUAAGGCCAAAGUAAUUAACACCUAAUACAAAAUUUUAUAUUCAGAUUAUCACAUACAUGCCCAAUAAAAUGACAAAUACUAGUUGAGCAUCACAGUCGUCCAUGACUAAAUUAUUUUG